rnacentral:lncRNA from 1 species
AUUUUGUUCUAUUUUUGUGGUUUUGGAACCACUUCAAACAUUGUAGUUUCAAAGGGGAAAAGAGACUCAAUCCAAAUGCAUUGAAGAGACGAGAUGUUGAAGUAUCUUAAGGACAGAACUCCUGUUGAUUAGCAUGAAUUUCUUGGUUUGCAUGUUGUGAAACUAAGCAGUGAGACAGGAUGGGAAAGUGUUAUUUACAUCUUCAGUCAGCAACAUUCUAGCAUUUUGUCCUUGUUCUUGUUAUCAUCAUCAUCUUUUAUCCUCUCAAUUUAAUACGACAUAUUAAACAGCACAAAGUACAAAUGUGUGGUAAACCAAAAGAUAAAUUAACAGGCAUGUGCCCAGCUUUGCAAUCGUGUGUAUGUGCUGAUGGGGGUGUUCUGUCCAAAGUCUCUGUGUAUAAAUAGCCAAGUCACGAAGCCACAAUUAUUCAACAGCUACAAAGGCACAAAUAGAUAUACAGUGUAUAAUGGCUCAGGAUUACCAAACAGUACUCAAUUUGGUUCUGAUGCUUAGUGACACGAACCAUCCGAAUCAUCCUAGCAGAUCCGACAUGUGUUAUGCGCCGAUGGCAGAUACCAGCUAAACGUCGAACCCACCACCAAGGCAACUUGACUUGCUUGACUGAAAAAUAUUUUUAACAAAAUUUUGAUAGAGUUCCCCCUAAAAUAUGAACUAAAAUCACCUGGACAAUAACAAAGUUUCUUCAAUUCAAUACCUAUAAUAUAAAAUAGGAUACACCAGUCCCUCCAAAUACAAACUAUUUAAACAAAAUGCUGGCCAUCAAUAUUUACUUGUUUUACAACCAACAAUCCUCAAAUAUACCAAAUACGGCAAAUAUGUAAUGAGCCCAUGAUGAAUUUUUCUGAUUUAAGAUACAUAUACCUCGAAAGAACACAUGCUGUAUAAUCUGAUAAAGGAUGUCAACCUACGAAGCAUGGCACAAUUCGAUGGUUUAACAGACUCCAAAGUUGCUCAAUUCGACUGCUAUCUGAUAAAAAAAUGGUGAAAAGAUGUAUAAUCUUAUAGCUCAGUAAGUGGAUAAUUUGCAAAUAAACAUAUUUUUCUUUUAUGCAUGUAUUCUGAAAAUUCUAACUUUAUAAAAACUUUGAGAAAUUCUAAGAUCUGGUAACAUUUUUAAAACUAAAUAUUAAUGUAUUACAUAUUUCUUUGUUCUUAAUUCUAG